AGGGUUGUGGCUCAGCAGUAGAGCGCUAGCCUAGCAUGCAUGAGGCCCUGGGUUCAAUUCUCAGCAACACAU
rnacentral:tRNA from 1 species